rnacentral:rRNA from 1 species
GACGAACGCUGGCGGCGUGCUUAACACAUGCAAGUCGAACGGAAAGGCCCUGCUUUUGUGGGGUGCUCGAGUGCCGAACGCGUGAGUAACACGUGAGUAACCUGCCCUUGACUUUGGGAUAACUUCAGGAAACUGGGGCUAUUACCGGAUAGUACCUCCUGCUGCAUGGUGUGGGUUGGAAAGUUUCGGCGGUUGGGGAUUGACUCGCGGCUUAUCAGCUUGUUGGUGGGGUAGUGGCUUACAAAGGCUUUGACGGGUAGCCGGCCUGAGAGGGUGACAGGGCACAUUGGGACAGAGAUACGGCCCAGACUCAUACGGGAGGCAGCAGUGGGGAAUAUUGCAAGAUGGGCGGCAGUCUGAAGGAGCAACGUCGCGUGCGGGAAGACGGUCUUCGGGUUGUAAAGCGGGUUAGACUGUAACGAAGCGUGAGUGACGGUAAUGGGUAAAAAAGCAACGGCUAACUACGUG